rnacentral:rRNA from 1 species
AUGUCUAGUGUACAAAGCCCCGGGGUCUCUACCCCGGGGGUGUGCAUCUGAAACUGGUGUAGCCUUGAGUGCAGGAAGAGGAAAAGCGAUAUUCCACGUGUAGGCGGUGAAAUGCGAGUAGAUGUGGAGGAGCACCAGUGUCGAGGGGGCCUUUCUGGUUUUGUAACUGCCGCUGAGGGGCGAAAGCGUGGGGAGAAAACAGGAUAAGAUACCCUGGUAGUCCACGCGGUAAACGAGGAGUGUUAGUUGUUGGGGGUUUUUAUACCUUCAGUGUCGCAGUUAACGCAUAAAACACUCCGCUUGGGGAGAACGCUCGCAAGAGUGAAACUCAAAGAAAUUGAGGGGGGCCCGCACAAGCGGGGGAGCAUGUGUUUUAUUUUGAAGCAACGCGAAAAACCUUCCCAGGUUUUGACAUCCCGCUGACCCCUCUGGAGACAGAGUUUCCUUUUGGGGCAGCGGUGACAGGUGGGCCAUGGUUGUCUUCAGCUCGUGUCGUGAGAUGUUGGGUUAAGUCCCGCAACGAGCGCAACCCUUAUCUUUAGUGGCCAGCAUUCAGUUGGGCACUCUAGAGAGACUGCCGUGGACAAGACGGGGGAAGGGGGGGAGGAGGUCAAAUCAUCAUGCCCCUUAUGACCUGGGGUACACACGUGUUACAAUGGUUGGUACAACGGGAUGCUACCUCGCGAGAGGACGCCAAUCUCUUAAAACCAAUCUCAGUUUGGAUUGUAGGCUGCAACUCGCCUACAUGAAGUCGGAAUCGCUAGUAAUCGCGGAUCAGCAUGCCGCGGUGAAUACGUUCCCGGGCCUUGUACACACCGCCCGUCACACCACGGGAGUUUG